rnacentral:rRNA from 1 species
AUAUCAAUAAGCGGAGGAAAAGAAACUAACAAGGAUUCCCCUAGUAACUGCGAGUGAAGCGGGAAAAGCUCAAAUUUGAAAUCUGGCGGUCCUUGCGGCUGUCCGAGUUGUAAUUUAGAGAAGUGUUACCCGUGCUGGACCGUAUACAAGUCCUCUGGAAUGGGGCGUCAUAGAGGGUGAGAAUCCCGUCUUUGAUACGGACUACCAGUGCUUUGCGGUGCGCUCUCGAAGAGUCGAGUUGUUUGGGAAUGCAGCUCAAAAUGGGUGGUAAAUUCCAUCUAAAGCUAAAUACAGGCGAGAGACCGAUAGCGAACAAGUACCGUGAGGGAAAGAUGAAAAGAACUUUGGAAAGAGAGUUAAACAGUACGUGAAAUUGCUGAAAGGGAAACGCUUGAAGUCAGUCGCGUUGGCUCGGAAUCAACCAUGCUCUUGCUUGGUGUACUUCCUUGUCGAUGGGUCAGCAUCAGUUUCGAUCGCUGGAUAAAGGUCAUUGGAAUGUGGCACCCUCGGGUGUGUUAUAGCCUUUGAUCGUAUACAGUGGUUGGGACUGAGGAACUCAGCACGCCGCAAGGCCGGGUUUUUAACCACGUAACGUGCUUAGGAUGCUGGCAUAAUGGCUUUAAUCGACCCGUCUUGAAACACGGACCAAGGAGUCUAACAUGCCUGCGAGUGUUUGGGUGGAAAACCCGAGCGCGUAAUGAAAGUGAAAGUUGAGAUCUCUGUCAUGGAGAGCAUCGACGCCCAUACCUGAUGUUUACUGACGGAUAUGCGGUAGAGCAUGUAUGUUGGGACCCGAAAGAUGGUGAACUAUGCCUGAAUAGGGUGAAGCCAGAGGAAACUCUGGUGGAGGCUCGUAGCGAUUCUGACGUGCAAAUCGAUCGUCGAAUUUGGGUAUAGGGGCGAAAGACUAAUCGAACCAUUAUGGACAAUGCUACUAUGGUGGUUAAGAGGGUGACUGAAAGGUUUGACCCUAGUGAUUGUUGAGGGUUGCGACAUUGUCAAAUUGCGGGGACGUCCUUAGAGCCUUUGCUACCGCCUCUACAUGGAAACAUAGUAGCAGUGCACCAGGUUAAUGACCUCGGGUAUGGUAACAACGCAAAGGAUUGGACAAUCCGCAGCCAAGUCCUAAUGAUCAUCAUCGAUCUAUGGAUGCAGUUCACAGACUAAAUGGCAAUGGGUCUCUCUUUUGAGGCUUAAGAUAUAGUCGGUCCCGUCGCGAAAGCGAACCAACAGAUGAAGAUCAGUGCUAUUCCUCAACCGUUAGAUAGACUGAUCCCGAGCUGUUGGGAGGUAACAAACUCGAUUGUUAC